CCUCCUUUACUUAGUGGGUAUUUGGUAGCUAUGGUUCUGCUCCUGGUAAUGUAUGGAGGCAGAAGGAAAGGGGUCUGAACCCUUUGGUGUCAUGUUUUUAGUGUUGGUGGCUUCUAAUCUGCAGGUUUGAUCCUCAUGGGACAUGG